UACGAAGGGGGCGAGCGUGGUUCGGAUUUACGGGGCGGAAAGGGCGCGCAGGCGGCUUAUUUUGUCAGGCGUGAAAGCCCCGGGCUUAACCUGGGAACUGCGUUUGAUACGGAUGGGCUAGAGUUCGGGAGAGGAGAGUGGAAUUCCCAGUGUAGAGGUGAAAUUCGUAGAUAUUGGGAAGAACACCGGUGGCGAAGGCGGCUCUCUGGACCGAGACUGACGCUGAGGCGCGAAAGCGUGGGGAGCAAACAGG
rnacentral:rRNA from 1 species